UACGUAGGGUGCAAGCGUUGUCCGGAAUUAUUGGGCGUAAAGAGCUCGUAGGCGGUUUGUCGCGUCUGCUGUGAAAACUCGGGGCUUAACUCCGGGCCUGCAGUGGGUACGGGCAGACUAGAGUUCGGCAGGGGAGACUGGAAUUCCUGGUGUAGCGGUGGAAUGCGCAGAUAUCAGGAAGAACACCAACGGCGAAGGCAGCUCGCUGGGACGGUACUGACGCUGAGACGCGAAAGCGUGGGGAGCGAACAGG
rnacentral:rRNA from 1 species